GGUUAGAUGGCCUCUGUAAAUGACAUCGUAGCCAGGUACGAACUCAUCAUACAUCUCUCUAAAGAAAGGCAACCCACUAAUAAAAUACAUGCCGAGAAGGGAGAUGCCCUCCUCUUUAUAAUCAAAUAACCAAGUGUUGCUCACGUUAUUCCAUGCCUCCAGGAGGGCCUUCAUCAUGUUGGAACAUCAAUCAUAGUAACCAGCAGAACAUUGACUUGCGGUUAACAACGGAGCAGAAUCCUUGAAAUGCUACAACAAGUCAAAAGUCCUAGAGCAAUACCCUUUCAUAUACUGAUGCUCCUCUUGAAAAUAGAGCCCCUUCAAGGACCACACCAACUCAUCCGAUGCCAUCAUCCUCUUCCCAAGAGUAAGAAGUUCUAAACUAGAGCCAUAAUCCUAGGGCUGGUUUGGGUACUUGGAUUGGACUCUCCACGAUAAGGCUAUCCUAGCGUUGGGCCCUUAUCCCUUGUUUGGGUAGCACAUUCACGAAUAGAUAGCCGAAUCCCAAAGAGUGGCCGAUCCACAUUUUUGGGCCAAAAACGUGGAAGAUGCCAUUCCACCAAAAUAGGUGGAAUAGGGCUAUGUGCGGUUUUUUACAUUGGACAAUACUGUCAGAUUAAAAAAUUUACAAUUCAUUCAAGUUAAUUUGAAACAUUGACGUCCGCAAAUCACCAAGACAUCUUACUUAAAUAUUAUAUUAUAUAUCACAUAUAAUGUAAUAAAUAUUCAUAAUAUAGUAUAUAUUAAUAGCAUAAAUAGUUAAAGGGUGUGGUUUGUAUAGAGCCUAGGCUCUAAACAAUCAAAUUAGAGCCUACCUUCAAAUAGUAUCGAGAAAUAUGGUUUCAAUACUGGAAAUCUUUAUGAUAGCCUUAAAAUACAUUUUCAUCUUUAUUUAUAAAGUUUAAAGCGUAAAAAAUAGUGUAGAUUGAAAGAUAUAUGAAAACUUGAAAAUCUUGAAAAUUGACGGUCCGAAAAUGUGUUACAAAAUACACUAUUUCCAAAACUUGAAAUCUAUUUUUUCCUCGUGGCCAUACAUCUUGAUGUCUAGCUGAUCAAUUUGAAGAUAUUUGGGCAUCAAAACAACCCGUUCUAAUGAAGUUUUUGAGGUAGGCUUGCUCUAAUCUGAUUGUUUAGAGCCUUGGCUCUAUAUAAACAUUUCCCAUCUAUACAUAUGUAAUAUAUAUACCAUAAUACAAUAUGUAAUAUGAUGUAUUUUAUAUUUAUUUUAUUAAUGUAUAUUUCUCCACCCCUUAAAGAGAAAGUACUUUCGUUAUAUAAUAUAAUAUAAUUUAUAUUUUUAUACUAUAUAUAUAUAUAUAUANNNNNNNNNNNNNNNNNNNNAUUAUUAUGCUAUAAAUACAUUCCCUGGGGCUUUCAAAGCCAUGGCUCAAGCAAUGUGUGCUUCCCCGACGGACCCCAAGAGCGAACUCGAAGGGGUGAGGAAGGGAUUGUUGUGAGUUUGUGUGCUUUGCUUUAUAGCUGCUUAUUUGUUUAUUCCGGUAUGGAGCCAGGCCUCGACAGGAUAGCUAUAGCAUGCCUUAACCCUCCCCUUUGUGACAACCCUCCUCUUUGUGACAACUAGGGGCGGGGACGCAGUGCCUCGGCAAGUGUCCAACCUCAAUGUCCAGAGGCAAUUGGCGAGUAGCCCUCUUCGGUCUUGCUAAUCCCUUCAUCCCUCUGUCAAUAUGCCAAAAUCAGCAGGUAUGAUAUUGAUGUAACAUAACCCUUCUCAACAAGGUUAGAAUACCUUUAGCAUAGAGAGGUGGACCUAGGUUGCAUUUGCCCAUGCGAGAUCAUAGCUUCCUUAGCUGGCUGACAGGUGUGGCAAGCAUUCGUUGUACCAGCUGUCUUGCUCGCUAUGCCAUGGACUUGUGUUUGGAAUUGGCCUCCUCCUCUUUCUAUGGAGGAGGUACAACAGUGGAACCCAUAGUUUCUAAAUGCCAUACUGCAGUAUAUUUUCCUUCCCUCUUAUAGGUCAACUAUCGUGUUGCUUUGACUCUGUACCUCAGGUGUCUACUUCUUUUUCGCCCUUCGUGCACUGAGUGCAUGCAAAACGAGCGACAAGGAGAGGCAAUUGUAGAACCCUGAUCUUGCUUGAGGGAAUUGUAGGAAAACAAAGGACCCCAGAACAAUCACUAUAAGCUUUAGAAUCACCUAGAAUCCCAAAACUAGUACCUUAAGACCAAAACCACUCUUCACGAUCCGUCAUGAAGGCCUAGCCCUUAGUCAAGAACUACAGAAAGGCCCCUAAUAGGUCAAGAAUGGCCUUAAGACAAGAGGAAAUCUGGAAGAAACCGCUUGAGAUUGCUUGAGUACCAGCUUGAGUUCAACACCACUACCAGUGGUGCCAAUGCUAGGGAUGGCUAUGCCUCGGUGUCAGCACAACACUAUGGGUAUGAAUGUCAGUGAUAGGAUUAGCAACACCCAAUGGAUGGUGGCGCAAGUUACAACCCUGGCAUCAUUGGAAUGCGGUUGCAGGUGAUCAUGAUUGCCUCCGAUGACAGAGGUAGCAGCGUCGAGUUCCUAUUGGAUGAGUUUGAUGCCAAUUGCUAGACAUCAAAGUGCUCAAAUUGUGGAAUAAAGUAACCAUCAUUGCCUUAAUGAUGGGGGUGCCAGCGUCCAAUGCUACCGAGAGUAAUGUCACCUUCUCAUUGGCAUUGCCCAUCGUCUAACAUUUGGAUGCACAGAUUAUGGCAGAAAGCAAUCAUCAUUGUUUAGACGAUGUGGGUACCAACACUAGCAAUGUAGCUAGCUACGUCCAGACCAAUUUUGAAUAUGAAAUACUAAUAGAAAUGUUCAAUACCCCUAGUAGGGUCGUUGUCUAUCUAACACGCCACCACCCAUGAUCACAUCAACCGUAAAUCAAGGGGUUGCGUAUUACGAAACCCAUAAUCACAUAGGACCAGCAUCAUCACUAGCAUGUCCAUUUUUAAAUAAUUUAAUGGCAGCAAAGCAUAAUGACGCUAGUAGCAGUGUCAACGAGGCCACUAGCAGCGUUGAUAUCAGACGACCAAGAUUUAAUACUAGACUUAAUACAGUGUUUAGAGGAUCCAUCUGCUUAUAAAUAGGGGUUGACCCCUAUUUAUGGAACCGAAAUUUUGAUUUGAGCCAAAAUUUUGCCGCACUAUAGACUGGAUUCUUCGAGCCUUAGCCAGACCUUACUAAACCCGAUACUAGCCCUUGAACCCUUUGACCCAGACUUUCAAUCUCUAUUGUGGGUCGAGGACUUGGCUACCAUUGAGGGAUAAAAUCAUCUCCAUUUGAGCUAAACCAUGGUUAUGUAACCUAAAAUAUGGCUUUUCCAUCGGCUCUAGAUCAAUCCCCAAGUAUCGACAAUUAUGGCAUAUCGUAGCAACCAAUAAAUUUUGAGACAUACCAAAAUGGCAUCCAAUAUGAAUUUUAGACAAGAGGCAUAUGAGCCCUCAUUAUGAAUAUCUAAAAAGUUAAACCUCUAUCUAAUAUGAUUUGAUGAGGCUUAACAUAAAAUGCUUGUCAAAUCCCUCUUGACAAACAAUGGUAUUCUCGACAUGUCAAGUCAUAAUCAAACUCCUCUAGUAUAAUAUAUAGAGACAUAAGGGCAAAGGGCCAACGUUUUUUUAUUUUUUGGAUGAGAUCUUUUGAUAGUCCUUAAAAUGGAUGGGUCGUAGAGAUAUGCAUAGUGACCAGCUGUCAGGGCAUCCGGGGCAUAUUGGGUCCAUGGAUGAAAAGUCUUGAUUUUAUCAUAUCUUAUUCAUGAUAUUUGAAAUGUAUUUGCAAACAUUUCUUGAGAUUACGUCCAUGUCCUCACAUAUGAUCCCACUGGUUAUUAAGCCUACAUGUGCUUAGCGAUCGCUCAGUUCUAUUCACUUCUUGCCUUAGUAUAAAUCCCUAUCUUCAAUUAUGAAUUUCUCGAGUGUGUUUGGUCCUUGAUUUAUGGGUCUGAAAACAUACCUAAUAAAACUGCCCUAUUACAGAUGUGGCUCACCAAAACGUGUGGGAUUCGAUAAUUUGGGUGGAUUAUCAAUUUCACCCUAUUCUCAUUCUUGCAUAGAUAAUUGUUGCCAUUGAGGCUUAGUGUGUAUAAUUUAUCAACUCACUUCACUAUGAGGCUUUCAAGUUCCCUCAUUUGUCUUUUUUAUGAAGAGGCUUCUCUCUUCGUGUUCUUCUUUUCCCUUCAUACAUACAAGACGGGCUACACAUCCAACCAUCUGUAGCCAUGACUGUCCAGAGUCUCCUCCAUGUCAACUGGCAACGAGUCUCCUUUAGUGGCUGCCAUAGCUAUAGAUGGCAGCAAUGAUGGGUCCUCCCUAAGCUUAUGGUCUGCACCGUCAAAGCAAUCCUCAUCUUUCGACGAAGAAGAAGGACCACCCCCUUUUAACAACUUAUCAUAUCUUCGCAGCCUUAUGAAGGUGAAAUAGCUUAUUAUUAACAUUUGUCUUAGGUAUAUGAGGAUGAGGCCAUACGUUUAGUACAAAUCUUGGAGUCUUUGUCCAAUGAAAAGAAGUGGAUGAAAUCACCAAGAUCAUUUGUAUCUAAAUUUUGGAUGUCAUGGCAUUUGGGAUGAGGAGCUGCUGAUUGUCUUGGUCCUCCCGCUUUCUUCUUCUUUUAUUUUCUUCUAAAUAAUAAGGGCAUAGCCCUAUCCUUUGUUAGGUACCUAAAUAUUUCGCCUCAAAACCCUUGGGUGAUGGAAAUGCAGAAAGUUUGGGCCCUAAACCACCUAAGGAUGGAAAUAUAUCACCAUGCUUUGCUAUCGACGUCCUCUAUGGGAUAAAGAAGCCCUUUGAAGGUUUUCUAUGGGAUUUUUAGUAAGAGGUGAUCUCCUGUUCAAGAGGUCCUUCAAUGGCAUCAUUCCACAGUGUCUUGAUCAGGCAAAAAUCGAUCAAGUACUGACAGAGUUACACAAUGAAUGAGGUCAUUCUGGCAUAGCCGCCUUAGCUCAGAAAAUCAGGCGCCAAGGCUAUUACUGGACCACCAUGGCUGAAAAUUGUUGGAAGUUCGUAAAUAUGUGUCCCAAAUGUCAGCUUUAUGGAGACCUCAUCCAUGCACUGUCCGUACCACUCAACUCAACACUGCCUAUAUGGCCCUUUGCCAUGUGGGGUCUUGAUAUCAUCGGAAUGAUCUCACCGAAAGCCUCAAAUGGCCACCGUUUUAUAUUAACGGUUACAUAGUACUUUACCAAAUGGGUAGAGACCGCAUUAUUUGUAAAAAUUAAGGGACAACAUGUUGCCCGUUUCAUAAAGAACAAUAUUGUAUUCAGGUUUGGUGUUCCUGAGUCAAUCAUUACUGACAAUAGAUCCAAUCUCAAAAAUAAAAAGGUAUCUAAGGUGCAAAAAUUUUGGGAUAACGUAGAAAUUCUCCAUACCUUACUACCCUCAAGGAAAUGGACAAGCAAAGGCUACAAACAAAUGACUUCUCAGAAUUAUAGAUAGAAUAAUAGAAGGUGGCAAAGAUUGACACGAAAGCUAAAUGAUGCGCUAUGGGCCUACCGGAUAAUUGAGAUGACUCUUAUUGGCAUGACCCCGUGCUUAUUAGUGUAUGGUAUGGAAGCAGUGUUAUCCAUUGAAGUUGAGAUACCGUCUCUCCGAGUGCUUAUUCAUAAAGAUUCAGAUGAGGAACAAAAGAUCGAAUCACGAAUCGCUGUCUUAGUUAAUUUGGAUGAAAGACGACUACGAACAACACAAAAUAUUGUUGCUUACCAGCGUAGAAUCGAGAGUGCAUACCAAAGUAAAGUUGUUCCUCGACAGUUCAGGGAAGGGGACAUGGUACUCAAGAAAAUCUUCCACACUAGUGCAAACCCACACCCUUUAGGCAAGUUCAAACCUAGUUGGGAUGGGCCAUUCGUGGUCACCCGAGCACGCAGGCAAUUCUUACAAGAUCAAGAAUCAGGAGGGGUGCAAGCUCAACGUCCCUAUCAAUGAGAUGUACAAUAGAAAAUACUACUCGUAACGAGCUCAAAAAAGUGGUGAAAACUUGAAAAGGCAUUACAAAAAAAAUAAAAAAUGGACGUGGUGACAACCUGAAAGGACAUCACAGGUAAAAAAAAAAAAAAAAUCUCCAAGAAGGAGCUUCUUAUUCAAAAACACUCAAGUACAAACAAGUACUUGCAAGUUCCAACAAUACGACACAAGCAAACCCUAAGGACAAAGAGUCCUCCUAAACCCUGCAGGUUCCCAACAUAACCAACUCAGAAAGAUGCAAGAGCAUGAUAUGAAUGGAAAACCAAAGUGACUUCAACGAAUCCUGGAAGAACAUCGGGACCUCUCCAAGAUGGAAGCUUAGCAAGAAUCCAGAGAACUCUUCAUGGACCCGCAAAGCACAAGAUGAAAGCUCCAAAGGUAAAAAGAUAACUUCGAGACUUUUGAGUUCUCACGAUCCCACAAGGAAAUCCUUUCAUUAUCUUUGGGUAAAAUAAAUAAAGAAAACGACCACCAAAGGGGCCACAGGUGGAAAAAUUGUAAGGCCCGUCUCUUUUAAAAGUGUUUUUUCAAUCUGUUGUUAAAACCCUCCAUUUUCAAAAUCCCUUUAGAAAGGACUUCCUCCAUCACUACAAGAGGUUAAACUGUUAAUCGAUCUGGCCUUGUUCUCGAAGCCAACUUCCUAUGCUUGUUAUGAAGGCUUGAAACUAGUCAGGCACACCAUGGUUGUAUGAGUAUAACUACCAACUACCACAUAUCUGAGAUGGGUGAACCUCACCAAUGAUGAUAUUGGCUAGUCUUGGAGCGUUUUUUCUCUCGACUGGAUCCCCUGAGGUAAAAUGAGGCAAGCUCAUCCCCAUGUGUACGUACGAUGUCCCAAAGUCCAAUUUGGAUAAGCGUCAAACUCGUACAACGUUAAAGAGCCGAGACAGGAUAAACAUUAAACUUGUGCGACGUAAAAGAGCCAAGACAUGAUAAAUGUCAAACUCGUGUGAUGUAAAAGAGCUGAGAUAGGAUAAGUGUCAAACUCAUGCGACGUUAAAGAGUCGAGACAAGAUAAACAUCAAACUCGUAUAACAUAAAAGAACCGAGACAGAAAAAAAAAAAAUUUGUCAAACUCGUGCAACAUUAAAACAUCGAGACAAGAAAACCAUCAAACUCGUUCGAUGUUAAAAAGCCGAGAUAAGAAAAACGUCAAACUCGUGCGACGUAAAAAAGCCGAGACAGGGAUUGUCCAGCCCUGUAUGACAUGAAAGGUCGGGUGUAUCCAGGGCACAACCACCCUGUUCAAUUGAAAAGCGUCAAACUCGUGCGAUGUAAAAGAGCCGAGACAGGGACCGUCCAGCCAUGUAUGACGUGAAAGGUCGGGUGUAUCCAGGGCACAACCACCCUGUUCAAUGAAAAAACGUCAAACUUGUGCAAUGUGCAAGAGCCGAGACAGGUAUCGUCUAGCCCCGUCUGACGUGAAAGGUCGGGUGUAUCCAGGGCACAACCACCCUGUUUCAAUAAAAAAACGUCAAAAUCGUGUGACGUAAAAGAGUCGAGGCAGGUACCAUCUAUCCCCAUAUGAUGUGAAAGUUUGGGUGUAUCCAAGGCACAACCACUCUGUUUGAUGGAAAAACGUCAAACUCGUGCGACGUAAAAGUGCAGAGGCAGGUAUCGUCUAGCCCCGUAUGACGAAAAAAGGUUGGGUGUAUCCAGAACACAACCACCCUGUUAACUAGAUUCCAACUAUCUCCGUAUUGACGUAAAAGGUUCGGGUGUAUGGUCUAUCGCUGCAUGAUGUUAAACUGCUUAGAGGGCUCUAUGGUUGUAGGAGUAAAAACUACUAACCAACCUUGUUUUUUGAAAUAUCUUUCUCUUUUCAAAAUUUUCACUAUAUGCCUUUUGUUUUCCAAAAACUUUAAUUUCUUUGUUAAAGUCGUAACCUAUCCUUGCUCCGGAUUCUAUUUCAAAUCUCCCUCUACUUUAUAAAAUUCCUAAAAAAGUCUUAAAAAACGAAUGAUCGUGGACAUCAUAUAUGAUGAUUACCGCGUUGCCACGUUGCUGCCUCGUCUCUUACUUUGGAUUCAGCCAAGCAACUCUCUUCCUAUAAAAGGCCUUUUUCUAUAGACAGCCUUAGGAAACCCUAAGUAGAUAAAAAAAAAUGUCAGGGUUAAAAAAUUCAAACUACAAAAACCCUGAAACUAAGUGGCAUAGCUAAAAAAUCCAACUCGAGUUUCAAGCUUGUGUAACUCACCGACAUGUCACACCAAAAACCCUAGAACGAAAAAUGUCCUAGGUGGGUGAGGUCAGUGAGCUGAAUGACUUGAAAGGAUAAUUGAUGUGCCCCUUGACCAUGUGACCUCAAGAAGAUAUUUAAAAUGUCUGCUUUAUCUUUGACGUUCACCUGCCCCUCGAAAGACAGGGAACGCCAAAGUGUCUACUUCUUUACCACUCACCUAUCUCUCAAAGGAUAAGGAGUGCCAAAGAGGGGCAACAGUAGACACCCCAUUUUAAAUUUGGAAAAUUAUAUGGUUUUCUUACCCCUUAGGACCACAUUAUCCUAGUAGACCCAAUUUAAUUAACCUGAAACUACCCAAAUCCUAUCCCAAUUUGAAUUAGAGCCCAAGAACUUUCCAACGGUCCAAGAAUCGCCUGAAUCGGAUAUACGGAUAAAAAGAUUUAACAAAUAACAAUUUAGUUCAUGUGAGACCCAAAGGUCGUGUCGUGGGCAGGGCUGUAACGGGCCCGGCAGGCCCAGAAGCGGGCUGAUGUUGCAGUCAACGCAUCUGAUGAAGUAGUAAACGUGUUUUCUUUAAUUAGAUAAGGCUAAACUUCAAGAUAAAUCUAAAAAAUUUCUAAAAAACUCGAAAAAAUUUAGAAAAAAUCACCCAUUGAAUCUUGUAAAUACUCCCUCUCCCUAACCCAAAAAGAGAGAGAAAAAAAGACCAAAAAGACCUUAGAAAUUGCCUAAAUUAGGAAAAUUAUUCAAAAAUACCAAAAAUAGGAAAAACCCUUAAAAAUUUCCUAAAAAUUUAGGAAAAAUCCUCAAAAAUCCCAAAACAUUAGAGAAAAUCUCAUAAUUCAUAUUCAACCUUUGGAGAUCACAAAAACCUUAAAAAACUAAGAAAAUUCUCUUUCAGACCUCGAGAAAGACCGACAGCUUUAAAAAAAUCUUUAGAUUGAAAAUCCUAGAGAAGAUAAAAACCCUAGCCUCCUAAAGUCCUAAUCCCCAAUACUGAGAAAAUCUAGACCUAGGGCACAAAUAGAUCAAAACUAGAAUUAGGACACAACCACUCUAGAUCUAACCCUUUACACCAGAGAUUUGCUGGUCAACAUCCGAAUCAGAGAGGCAAAGACGACCGGUUCUGAUACGGGCGAGCCCUCAUAGGCUCAAGAAUCCCGAGCCAUCCGACCCGGUUUGGUAUUUUUUCUUCCUCUCUGUUUCUUCUUCCUUUUGCUGUUUUACUUCUUUUACUUAUUUUUGAUAUGUUAACUUGUCUUAAAAAUCGUAUUUUAAUGCUUGGGAUCAUGAUGGCUCUGUCACAGAUCUGAGAGUAAAUCUACUCGUUUCUGAGCAAAUCUGAAUUCGAUCUGUCCCACUUUCUCUACCACUUUAUUUACAUUUUUUUAAUUAGUUUAAGGUGUUAAAAUUUGAGAUAUCUUCAUCGGAAGAUAUGUCAUAUUUUCAUCGUAAACACCAUUUAGAGGUACCCAUGUCUUUUUAUUGUUGUUUUGCCUAUGUAGAGAGAUGUACUACGACCCAAGUGUGAGGGCGUGGGACUUAGACACCAAGUCCACCACCAAGUCAUACUAAAGGUCUGGUAAGUCGGUCAGUCGUCUAGUGAGAUAUCGUACUAUUGUCCCCUAGGAUUAUGGGACUCAGCCCUAGCUUGAGCCCAUAGUUAGGCCACCUAGUUAUCUUUUUGAUGACCAACUAAAUUACUGGCUGGAUGCUAGUUAUCUUUUAGAUGAACCCUAGCCUAGGACAUGCAGCAAAACUUUCGACCCAACCUAAUCUAGAGCCCCAUCAGUUCGGUCGAGUGCUGCCCGACCCGCUUUUGAAUUAUCUUACCAUUUCUACCCUUCCCAGCCUAAGGAGACACCACUUAUCCUCAUGACACCAAGUUAUCCACUACCAUAUCAACCAACACCCAUUUACCUAGCUGCUCAACCUGUCAACUUGGGGAGCAACCCUUGGGCGCCAUCCAUGCAGGUGAAUGUCAAAUACCUAUCUUUGGAGAACCAGGUUAAGGCCAUGAGAGGAGCCCCACAACGAAUGGGAGUUGACAAUCCAGCCCUCAUGGAACCCUAUGAUGAAUCCUACCUAGACAACAUUGCCAAUCUCCCCAUGAACUUGGAUUUUUGAAACUGCUUCAAUGGAAAAGGCGACGUCAACCUGUAUGUGACAAGUUAUCUGCUCGUUGUACCUACUUUAUGUGACACGCCACUCGCCCUGAGGGAAAUAAUUGUUCACAGUCUCGCAAGAGACACAAUCACAUGAUAUAACAACUUUGUGAGGGACUACCCCAUGACCUCAUGCCAAGACAUGUUUAGGAAAUUCGUAGUGAACCACUGGACUAAGAAACCACCCUCGAUCCCCCUCGCGAAACUAGAAGCCUUCAAACAAGGACCCAAUGAAGUGUUCACCAAUUUCUUUGACCAGUUCAAUGCUAUGGUCGCAAGGGUCACAAAAUGUCCCUUAUCGAACCCCGCUAAGAUGAGCAUGAUUGUGGAGAAUGCCAAUCUCGACUAUAAGUUAUUUUUCAGUCACAACGAUGUCCCUCUGAAUUUCAACAUUAUGUAAGAUAGAAGCACGCUUUACUAAAGGACUCCGAGGCGGUCGGUACUAAGCCGGUUGAGAAUCAAAUGAUUAACGAGCUCCCGCAAAAAACAGCUCAAGGAAAGACUCAAGAAGCUGAGAAGGUGAACCCGAUCAUCUUCCACCAAGCGAGUCCGGAUAACCAACAUCCUCCGGCUAGUCAAAACCAUCAAGGGAAUAAGGAUGUGAAUGGUAAUUGUUAUCGGUCAUACAAUCAGUCCAUAAGCCCACAAAUGCACUUCACCCCUUUGAAACAACCAUUGGUUGAACUCCAUCGACAACUCCAUGAGGACAGAGACUUAAUUCUUCCUCCCCAGAUGCCACCCCCAUAUGAGGUAAAGGACAAGAUCAAGUGGUGUGAAUGGAAUCGACACUACCACCACACCACCCAAAAUUACGUCUCCUUGAAGAACCAAGUCGAAAACCUUAUUGAAAAAGGGCUGAUCAAGGUGGUUAAGCUUGGUGAGCCCAUUAAAGAGGCCAAUUAAAAAAUAGGAAUUUAUGUCAACCCACUGCCAAGCAAUGAUCCCCUUAAGCACACAACUACUGGCAGUUACAAAAUUGUCGGUAGUGGACCCAAAGGGAAAAGCAACAGUCUCAGUGGUUCAUGAGGACCCGUACAUUUUAAACCCUUCUUUCCUCAUUUCCCUUACAUGAUAACCACUACCCUAAAUUUCCAAGUUCCAAGGGAAACAAACACUCAGGAACCUUCACCAUUGCAUCAAGAUGCCAAGAUGCUCCCCAAUAAGGAGCUCGAAGAAGAAGUUCACUCCUUCUCUAUUGACUUAGGAGUGAUCAAUGUUGAAGGCGAUCAUCCUGCCCAAAAGAAAAUCCAGCUGGAAGGAGCAUACAAGGGUGUCGACGCAUGGAUUAAAGAAGAACCCUCAUAUGUCCUUGCAGACGAAGCUAUCACAUGCCUCACGAGGCACGGCUGUUACUUUAAACCAACCCGGCUCAAAACCGAAAACCUACAAGAAAGGAUAGCAGGUCCUACCCCUACACCUCAAGCUACCGCUGACAAUCUAACCCCAGCCACUUGACCAACUCAAGAGGGGGUAAUCUUCAACAUUCCUAGUAACGAUCUCCCAGCUCAUCUAGAUAAGAUCCCAACCUCUAUAUCCGUGCUAGAUAUUCUUAGGAGAUCUCCAACCCAUUGGCGCCAAAUCGAGAGUGUACUCCAAAAGUCACGCAUCUCCCCCGAAACAGGACUGGAAGAGCUUAGUGGGAUGAUCAUGCAAUUGACGACUUCAAUGGCCAUAACUUUUAGUGAUAAUGACCUCCCCCUAACUUCGAUCGACACCAUAAUCGAGCGCUUUACAUAACGGUUCAUUCCAUAGGUCACGGGAUCCCUAGGGUAAUCAUAGAUAAUGGGGCAGCCCUUAACAGUUAUCUGGUAAGGACGUUAAAUAAAAUAGGUAUGGGCCUAGCUUUCUUAGAACCCUCUUAGCUCACCAUCACAGCUUAUGACGGGACCAAGAGGUAGGCGGAUGGUAUUAUGCCCAUAGCUCUCAUUGUAGGACCUAUAUCCCAAAUGGUGAGAUUUGAUUUCUCAGAUAUAGAUUCCUUUUUUAAUUUUCUCCUAAGGCGGCCUUGGCUUCAUGAGAAUCUGUGCAUAGCCUCAAUAUUUCACCAGUGUCUCAAAUUUCCCAUGGCUCAAGGGAUGGUAACGAUUUUUGCAAAUCAACCCCAAACAAUCAAUUUGUUGGAACUAGACCAAUCAUGGGGCAUCAAUGACGUGGGAGCCAUGAUGUACCUCUGGUAACAUACGAUGAACCUCAUUGUACUAUUUUGACCUUUAAAGUCAGCAACCCAUCUCUCAAAAAAUUCUGAAGCUCUCCAUAUUUCGAACAAAUUCGAUUCUGUUACGAGAAGUACAAUUACAAGUCGCCUGAAACCCCGCAUAUGCUGUUAGACCAAGGCUUUCAUGUCGAGCACAUCUUAGGAGUUAUGGAAGAAGAGGUGUCUGUGGCAAUCACAGAAGCCCCGAAUGCUAAAAGAGAAAAGAAAGACCAAAGAGGGCUAGGGUGUUCACACACCCUCAUUGAGGCUCAUGAGAGGCUCGAAGGACCAAUCCACUCCGAUUCUAUAAGCCAUGUUCCCUUGAACCCACAAAUGGGAAAUGUUACUAAUUGACCCGAUGGAGCCUUACGAUUUCCAAAUCAGGGUCAACUAAGUCUUACACCUCCACUCGAUAUUCUUGACUCCACAAGGAUUUUGAAAAUUUCAUUUCAAACAAGAACCCACACUCCCCAGUCGAGGACCAUCUUGUCAGGCUCAGCUUGAGUAGUCGAGGGGCAAAGGCUCCAUUCGAGGCUAUGCUCCCCCGACAUCCCAAGAAGGCUAGCGGCAAAAUUGGCCACUCGUUCUGAUGACCUCCAUUUCACUGGAAGGCUUCCAACGGCAUCAACAAACGUCGAUCCCAAAAAAUGAGUAGGCACAAUGUACCCAUAGGAGUACCAUGUGCCCUCUUAUCCACCUGUCACUGCUAUUAACCCCGCAUUGGCUUAAUUCUAAAAUUGAUGAAAACUUUGACAAAUCUAAUAAUUAUUCACAUUUCUCUAAGGAAAACAAUUUUGAAGGUGUGAAAGACUAAAAACAAAUCCAAAAAAUCAUAUGAUGGAAAACCUAAUUCAUAAUGACGAUUCAGACUUUUCCUUCUCAGAUCAAGCGAAGGUGGAAGCCGAAAGUGAUCCCAAGUUGGAAGAGCUUAAAUCUCAUAUCGAGUUGCUCGAUCAAAAAUUCGAUGGUAACUCGACUGCCACUGUCAAAUAGACAUUUGAUGUUAACCUUGACUCAGAGGGCGAUUCGAAGAUAACCAAGGUCAAGACUUCCCUAUCACCCAAGGAACAAGAAAAAAUGAUCGCCUUUCUUAAAGACCAUCGGGAUGUCUUUGUGUGGUUAUACAGUGACAUGCUCGGCUUGAGCUCUACCCUAGUGGAGCACCAACUCAGCUUACGCGACGAGGUGACCCCAGUCAAGAAAACGGCCAGGUGACGAAAGACCCAACUGGAACUUAAAACCAAAGAAGAAAUCGAUAAGCUUCUAAAUGUGAAUUUCAUCUUGCAUGUCGAUUACCCUGACUGGUUGGCCAAUAUCGUAGUCGUCCCCAAGAAAGACGAUUGAAUAUGAAUGUGUAUCGCUUUAGAGAUCUAAAUAAGGCAUGUCCAAAAGACGACUUUGCUUUGCCCAACAUAGAUGCCCUAAUCGAUAAUACCGCUAAACAUGAGUUGCUAUCAUGGCUAUAUCCAAAUCUGUAUGGCUAAGGAGGACGAAAUAAAAACCUCUUUCAUCACGCCAUGGGGAUCAUAAUGCUAAUCAUGCCCUUCGGACUCAAGAAUUUCGAAGCAACCUACCAAAGGGCCAUGACUUCUAUAUUCCAUGACAUGAUGCACAUCAAUAUGGAAGACUACGUGGACGACAUCCUAGUCAAAUCUAAACCUAGGGAUGGCCACCAAGCGACUUAAGAUUGGUAUUCGAUCGAUGCCGAAGAUGUCACCUUAAACUUGACCCUCAAAAGUGUGCUUUCGAAUUCGCUUUGGGAAAAUGGUUAGGCUUCAUUGUUAGUCAGAGGGGCAUUGAAGUAGACCCGUUCAAGAUCCGGGCCAUUACUGACAUGCCGCUUCCAAAGAACACAAGAGAAAUACAAGGCUGCAAGGAAGAAUAUAAGUCAUAGGCAUUUUGCAAUUUGUCAUUAGUGCUUCUUUUAUCUAUUAGCUACUCAUUCUCCCUUCCUAGUUGUACUUGCAAUAUAAUGUAAAGAGUACAACACAAUUGUUUGUGCGUUGGGUUCUUUGAGAACAAGGACUUGCAUAUAGUCAGUUAGGGUACCUUAUGCUAGAAACUUGAAGAAGGAGGUCUAGCAAUUCGUCAUAUUCACGAGGAGAUGAUGAAGUUAGCCUGGAGAAGGGUCUCAAAACCCUCCUCCCUUCUAUCUUGCUUCCUCAAGCACAUAUACUUUUGCCAUACAAUCCCCAGCUAAAAUUUUCUCUUAUGAAUGGAAGGGGGUAGCCAUGUGGUUAAAUAGAUUGCAGAAUGAUGUUACAUGGAUAAUCAGCCAUGGAAAGUUGAUAGACUUUAGGGCAAAACCUUAGUUGCUUGAACGAUCCUUAUGGGAACAACAUGGUGUAGAUGUUCUUACGGCCCUCAGCAGUUUGGUGAAGUUCAAGUUAUCAUUUAACAUCGAAGGUUCAACUAAAAAAUGGGCUCUUCCAUCCUUUAGCUCUGGUCCACUCCUCUAUGUCUAGGAGGAGGCACAUUCACGUGUUUGCCUAUAUAACCCUUACAUGAUCAUCUAGUUUGGAUCCACUUUGCUAUUGUUGAAUUCUCAGUGGGAAGUGUGUAGGACUACAUCAAACAAAAUCCCCCUGUUUAUGCAGCUUUCAGGGCCCUCUGGAAAACCCCAUCCCACCCUAGAGGGAAAUAGUGCACAUGGCUCGCCCUUCAUUCCAGUCUACCCACCAUGGGUUUGCUCCAAUCUAGAGCUUAACUUUGGUGUCCAAAUGUCUUUCUACCUCCAAGAGGAGGAGACGAAUGUGUGUUUUCUCACAAGUCCUUUAGAUAUUUGGCAAACUCAUAUUGAUCAAGCAAAUUACUUACGAUGAUGAUGGCCAAGUGGAUCAAAUUUCAGUUUAAGUCCACUGGCAUGAAAAUUGUUUGGCUCUUCAUUUUCUCCAUUACCAGCUAAUGCUUGUAGGCUGAGUGCAAUGCAUGUGCUCAUGAAGGGAGGAGCAAUUCCAAAGAGAACCUUCCAUGAUGAAUCAUUUGCCUUGUCAGCAGGUUUACAGAAAGGAAGGGAUGGGCUUUCCAUCCAUUAGAAAAUAUCAUCACCUCAAACCUCAAACUGAAGUGGUGUGUGAACCCUUCAUCCCAAACUAGAUUGCAUGGCUCUUCCCACCCACGUGUCACCUCAAGCUCAAAAAUAGACGGUUCGUCCCUUUGAUAUCUUUGUACAGCUAGUUAGGGGGAAGAUAUUAGAAAUGACACAAGUCGUUUUGCAGUAGCCUUUGCUACCUCCUUGGGUUUUACCUCUGACAAUGUCGUCUAGUUUCAUACCUUGAAUUAGGGAGUUUCAUUGGCAUGGGAACUCGACUACAAACAUUUAAUCAUUGAGAGCGACUCUGAAAUGCUUGUUGACUUCUUGACUCAAUGCAGUAGACUCCCAUAGAAGCUUCGUAUAAUCUUGUCCAACUACAGGACCGAGCUUUCUUCCUUUGCAGAUCAACUUUGGUAGGUCCUCAUGUUUUUAGGGAGGCAAAUACAGUAGUUGAUUGCCUAGCAGAAAGGGGGUUUUCAUUGGUAGAAGCAAUGGUAUUGCAGACUCGCCAGCCAGACCUGAUAGCUCCCCUUAUCAGACAUGGCAUCCCAUUCCCUUCAUAAGGAUUGUUAAAUGACUUUAAAUGUAAACACAUUGUUGAUUAGUAAUAUAACAUGUCAUCAUUCUCACUGAUUUACCAAAAAAAAAACAAAAUGAAAGUAAGCUUCAGUUACUAAGCUAGUGGCAUGUAAUUAGCAAGACCAUAUUUGAUUCACUAGCAGAGAAUUGGAUGCAUGCCAAAUGAAAAGCAAGGUGGGGGUGUUUUUUGUUGGGGAGCUCCUCACGUCUCUCUCCCUCUCACUUAUCACUUUUCUCUCUCCCUCUCACUUAUCACUUUUCUUUUCUUAUGGGAUUAUUACAUACAGAGAUGAAUUAUCAAAUUUACUAUUUGGUUCAUAAUUUCGUAACGGCAUCUUUCUUUCAUUUUUAAUUUUUUUUUUGUUUUAACCCCAGUUUCAAACAUAAAGCCGCUUAAUUUCUUAUUUUUUCACAUUUGUAGGGCGGUCCUUAUGUUUAAAAUAUCAAACCGCCCCAUUUGCAGGGCAUUUCGCUAAUUGCAAUAUCGGACCGCCCUACAUUUUUGGCCCAUCCUUCGCAAUCUAAUUUAUAAACAUCGUGCGGUCAUUAGUAAUAGUUUUUUAUAUUUUCGUGGUCCGAGCGUUUGAACAUGCGGAUCAUUGAUACUUAUGGGGAAAAAAUAUAUUAAAAAAAAAAAACGGUGUGAUAUCGAGCCCCCAUAGACAAUAUUAGCAAAAAGACGAUGUUGUAGUUAUCAAACAGCCGUACGAAUGGGGCAAUUAAACAUAUUGAAUGUUGGAUCGCCCCAGAAAUGUUAAAUAAUAAUAAUAAUUAAGAAAUAAGCAGUUUGAUAUUUAAAAUAUUAAAACAAAAGCAAUAAUAAAAAAAUAAAAAAAAAAGGGGAAUAAGACCUCAGGCUAUCGUUACCAAACGUAUUGUUCAAAUACGUGCAAAUGCCUUUAUUUUUCUAUAUGACCUUCAAAAAUAAUUCCGUACGAGUCUUAAAUACCAUAAGAGUGUGCCCACCAAGCAUUCAAUGAGAGAGAAAGGAGCUUUACUUGCAUAAACCAUCAAACGAUACAUUACAUAAAACAAAAGGAGAUGCUUUCACCUUCAUUUACCAUCUCAAACCCCAUCAUCACUCACUACCACUGAAUCCACUCUGAAUCUACAAAGAGGUUCAUUUACCAUCUCAAACCCCAUCAUCACUCACUACCACUGAAUCCACUCUGAAUCUACAAAGAGGACAUGAAGAGUGAGAAAGAAGCCACUUAUCAACACAUUCCAAAUGAAAACAGUGACCACAAUUCGGCAAAACCCUAAAAACCUGCCCCUCUUCCAAUCCACUCAAACAAACAGCGCACUCUCCACCCUCUCGAGGCACAGACCUAACCACCAAGCCCAUUUUGCAGGGUCCGGGCUCAACAGAACCGAGCCCAAAGCUCGAGCUGCAUAGCCUCCCAUAAAACGCGGUCACGACGAGCAAAGAGGAGAAGACAGAGAGGAGGCCAAGGGCCAGAGCGAGAGCGGGUCGGAGAGAGAAACUUGAAAUUUGGGUUUGUGGAGUGGUCGGAGAGAGAGAGGGUUGGGGUGAGGGGUUGUUGGGGAGAGAGAGGGAAGGGGAGUUGAGGAGAGAGGAUGAUGAGAGAGAGAAGGAGAGGACGAGGAGAGAGAACAUGAUGGUGGUGGUUGUGGUUAUGGUGGUGGUGGUGGUGGCCAUUGUUGGCUGUGGGAUUUGGGAUGGUGGGGAGUGAGAGAAGUGUGUGGUAAUGGAAUUUGUAAGGUCUUUUCAGCUGAGUUAGUUUUGGGGGUCAGAAAGCGCAUGUGAAACAAUGGGCGUGGGUCGGCUCAUUUAUGAGCAUUGGAAUGGACUGGUUUUUAGAGAAAGAAAAAGGGUUGAGGUAAAUUUGAUAGCAGAUGAUCUGGCCCAAAAAGGGGCUCAAUUUGAUGAAAUGAAGAUCGUCGAAGAGCUUUUUCUUUGACUUUGUCUUCCUUUGACAUUUUCUGUUCUUUUGUUUUUGUUGCAAAUAUGCAACACUCUAUUACUUAAUGAAAUUAUGGUACUUUAAUAAUAAUAAUAAUAAUAAUAAUAAUAAAUUAAUGAUUGUAUGAGACCCUCCCACAUCCAUAUAUAAAGGACGUCAAAUAAACACCCU
rnacentral:lncRNA from 1 species